CAUAUGUAGGGAAUAGGGUGCCAUUUUGGGAUAUAGCCAUGUAAAAAUAGAACUUAAAAACUCUCCUGUUGUUGUUGUUGUUGUUGUUUAUUUAGUUUCACCAGACUGGAUCAGGCCGUACCCACUGUUACCAUGGAGAUAGAGUCCGCCCUCACCUCCAGCAAGACGGCUUUACUACAGACCGUCCCAUCAGGUUGCAUUGUAUACAGUGGAGAGUGCAAUGUCACCCCAGUUAAUGAGACAAAAGUUUGUGCUGGUGUCAACAGCACUGCUCUACAGGGUCGCCUUGACAACGGGCAGAUCAGCGGAGUCCUCUGUGAUUUCGGCGUCGAUGUUUACGCUUGUGGCUCGGUA